rnacentral:rRNA from 1 species
GAUCCUGGCUCAGGAUGAACGCUAGCGGCAGGCUUAACACAUGCAAGUCGAGGGGCAGCGGGGAGUAGCAAUACUCCGCCGGCGACCGGCGCACGGGUGCGUAACGCGUAUGCAACCUACCUUUAACAGGGGGCAUAACACUGAGAAAUUGGUACUAAUUCCCCAUAACAUUCGAGAAGGCAUCUUUUUGGGUUAAAGACUCCGGUGGUUAAAGAUGGGCAUGCGUUGUAUUAGCUAGUUGGUGAGGUAACGGCU